AAGGGUUUGAUCCUAGCUCCGUAAUAGCGCGAUCGCCUCAAUACGACACAUGCUUAUCUUCCUGGGAAUCGAUACACUAGAAGGGAAGGUUAAAACCAUCUUCUGAUAGAAGAGAUUGUCCAAGAGGGUCUUAGGGUGAAGGGCUUAGUUCGUUGCCUAGCCAUAUGUGAGAAAUAGUAUAAGGCUAAACAUCCUGGAAACAUCCGAGAGAUGGGGCUCCUUUCUAAGUUCCUAUGAGGUAGACGGCCGUGUAACAGACUGACCGUGCCCAUGAAGGGGAACACAAGGUAUAGCAUCUAUACUGGUCACAGCGGUACUAAAGGACCGUCCAUAGAUCAUGGCAGCAGUGGAGAGACUUAGGCAAUGAGGGAAACCUUGACCUAGUUGGAGCGAGGCUUGAAGCCAAUGUUUUUCUUCUACAAAGAAGAAGUUAAAUGGAUCAUUCUGUCCAAGAUGCGUGCCAGAAGGCUCGGUAAUACGUACAGAGUCAGCGUUUUACACAAUGAAAAGGCAU
rnacentral:rRNA from 13 species